ACAAACAAAAUAUGCAGAGAAUGAAAGGAGAAAAGAAAAGGCGUACCUGCUUCGGGAGGUGAAGAUGCCUGCAGCGCUGAUGGAUUCUCGGCCUACUACUUCCCUUUAUCUUCCUUCUGUGCUUGCUUGUCUGCGUGUUCUUUCUGUUUUCUCAGCAGCUUUUGAAGCCGAGAAGAUGAUGAAGAGGUCGGCCUCUCAGGUGAGUGUAUGGGCGGUCUCCACGCACUUCAGUUGGCGGGUGUAGGGUCGUUCGUUGAUCAAAGGCCAUCGAGGAUGAGGCAGCGUGUGUGGCAGAUAGUUGUUCGGUUUGGUGCCGAGAAGCUUGUCCUCUUCUUUUUCUUCCCUCUCUUCUCGAGUUUUGCGUGUGCCCCUUCAAAAUUUCAAAGCACACCUACAAUUUGUUAUUCUUUUAAAUUUGAUCCCUGUUCUUUUGAUUAUUGUUUGUUUUGUUUGGAAUAAUUUAUAAAAUUGGGAUUCUUUGACAAUUUCAUUCCACUUUAGUUUUUUCAUAUUUCAAAUUUGGUUCCUGUUA